rnacentral:lncRNA from 1 species
UUUGUGCAAAUGGUGGCCUUUAAUACCAAGAAAGACCAUGACAAGUGACAGAACAGGAGCAAAUUCCCUAGUGUAGUGCCGAGCUAGCCUUUUGCAGGACCCUAAAACCUGAUCUAGUAACAGAAUAAAUCAGUGUAUUUACAUUUAUGUUUGCCCUGAAAACCCAGGUAAGGUCUGAAGCCUGAGGCAUCUCUCCUUCCUUUCCUCCUCCCUCUCUUCCUACCUCCUUGCCUUCUUUCACUUCCUCAAUUCAUUCCUCUCCCUUCUCCCUUCCUCUCUCUUCCUUUUUUUCCUUUCUGCUUUUCCCUUUUCUCCUUUUUCUCCUCAUUCUCUUUACCAUCUACCUAUGUGACCCUCCAAGCCCCUCUGCUAUUUCUCCCCUGCUCACUCCCUCUGCCGUUGUCUCCCUCAGGUUCAGCUUCCGGGGUGGGGAGGCAAGAAAGGGUCCUCAGCCCAGGGAGCACUUGUUGGUGUUCUUCUU